AUGGCGCCUGUCCUGGCGACCUCACCUUCGCAGACGGAAGGCCCAACCGUCUCGCCUCCCUCGCGCCAAACCCAAUCCGACGAGCCGCACGUGCGCCACUCAAGCUCUCCUCCCCCCUCCCACUCCUCUCCUUCCCACGGUCGGGUCAACCACCCCCACCGGAAACCGUGCUCGCGCCGCGUCCGUUCCCGUAAACAAUUGCUGGAUCCCCAUUUCCCCACCAAGAAAAGCAGUAGAACCGCGCCGGCCCACGCCCCGCUGUACAGUUGUCGCGCUCGGGCGGCCGAGUAGUUUAAUCCUCGAGGAAGGAGGGGGGCGGUCGCCCCGGAUGGCCGUGUCCUCGUCGCCUUCCUGCAGACCCACUCCCGGGUUUGAGGCGUCCCUCCUCCUCCGCCGCCGCUCUUUCCGGUUGCGUUUGGGAGGAAUGGUUGUGGAGUUGGUGGAUUCUCAUUCUCCGCUGGGGUUUUAGGAGGAUUCCGGGCUCUUGGCCGGGGAAGCGGAGAUCGGAGGUUCUGCCAGGCGUACGGAUUGGGCGCUGGAGCUCCUGUUUGUUUGAAUUGAAUUUUGGGGAAAAGCUUCCACCUUUCUUCUGCCUUUAAAAGGAGAUGGCUUUUUCACACGACGGAAAGAUGAAGGGCUGUCAGACAAACCUUUUCCGGACAAAGGAUAAGAAAGUCGUCAAGAUGACAGAUAGUGCAAGCUGCUCCACAGCUAAGUAUGGAUCAAGCAACUCAAAAUCACCAUCUUCAUCCCCCUUCCGGAAGCUUUCAGAAGUUAGGAGCAUACGUCUCAACCAUUUUCUAAGUCACUCUUCAAAUGCUACAAAAUAUGAACAUGUCAGGAUAUUUGUCUCCACAUGGAAUGUUGGAGGAAAAGCACCUACUGCCGAGUUGAAACUGGAUGACUUUCUUCCUGUUGAUGACCAUUCAGACAUUUAUGUUUUAGGCUUUCAGGAAAUUGUGCCUCUCAAUGCUGGUAAUGUCCUUGUGAUAGAAGAUAACGAGCCAGCUGCAAGAUGGCUUGCUCUUAUAAACCGUGCGCUAAACCAACCAGUUGACACUGUUGAUGAUAUAUUUCAGCAUAAACCAUAUCCCUCCCUGGAUUCAACCUCAUCCCGGUCAACACCAUGCCUUGAUGGUUCCUUCUCCAACCGUUCAAGAACAGCCAGUGGUUCUAUAAUCUUCCAAAAGUCCUUGAAAUCCAUCAAGAAAUCUUACAUGCCAUCCCAGAGAAAACAACUCAAAUUCUGCAAUUGCCCAGUGGAAAUGGCCAAGAAAUCCUACAAAGAUGCUUGCUUUUGGUGUCCACAAGCAUAUGCCAAUGACAUGGACUCCUCAGAAGAGGAUGAAUUGGAUGACAAUUUGAAUGAUAUUUUUGGCCUUAAUGAUGAUGGCGUUACUUCGUCUGUUUCUGCCUCCAGGGACCAGCUAAAGUAUAACCUCAUAUCUUGCAAACAAAUGGUUGGUAUUUUUGUCACAGUCUGGGCAAAGAAAGAAUUAAUGCAGCAUAUUGGACAUUUGAGAACGUCCUGUGUUGGUCGCGGAAUAAUGGGAUAUCUUGGAAAUAAGGGAUGUAUAUCAGUAAGCAUGACACUAUACCAGACAAGCUUUUGUUUCAUCUGCAGCCAUUUGGCUUCAGGUGAGAAGGAAGGUGAUGAAUUGAGGCGAAAUUUAGAUGUGUUAGAGAUUCUAAGGCUCACACAAUUUCGAAGGAUUUGCAGAAGAGCUGGGCGAAGAAUCCCUGAGAAAAUUCUUGACCAUGAGCGGGUGAUAUGGUUAGGAGAUCUGAACUACCGAAUUUCCUUGAGCUAUGAAGAUACCAAAAAACUUCUGACUGAAAAUAACUGGGAUGCCCUUUUUGAAAAGGAUCAGCUCAAUAUCCAGCGUGCUUCUGGAAGUGUGUUCAAGGGGUGGAGUGAGGAGAAGAUAUAUUUUGCUCCCACAUACAAGUACUCUUGCAAUUCAGAUUCUUAUGCUGGAGAGACUGCCACAUCAAAGAAAAAGAGGAGAACCCCAGCCUGGUGUGAUAGAAUACUAUGGCAUGGAGAUGGUAUUGCACAGUUGUCCUACUUCCGGGGGGAAUCUCAAUUCUCUGACCAUCGUCCUGUUUGUGGGACAUUUAUUGUUGAGGUUAAAAGGCUAGAUGGUCAAUCAAAGCGGCGCCCAUCAAACACCAACAUUAAAAUCGGUGCUGAAGAGUUGUUACCGACAAGAGACAGGCAUAACUAAGGAAGCGAAGGUGGAUCCGACGCCGUCUGCCCCCGCCCCUGGUCAUCACAACAUCCGGGCCUCCCGCCUCCUCGACAACGAGAUCCGCGUCCUCAAGGACGAGUUGCAGCGGACGAACCUUGAGUUGGAGUCGUUCAAGGAGAAGAUCAAGGAAAACCAGGAGAAAAUUAAGCUCAACAAACAGCUACCCUACCUCAUUGGCAAUAUCGUUGAGGUUCUGUCUCUUUCCAUUCGACCUUGGAAAUGAAUCCUGAUGAUGAAGCUGAGGAGGAUGGUGCUAACAUUGAUUUAGAUUCACAAAGGAAAGUAAAAUGUGUUGUUCUGAAGACCUCCACAAGACAAGUACACUGGACAGCAGUGUGGCUUGCUGAGCCUGCAGUGAGAAUGCGCCUAAUGGCUGUUCUGGUUGAUGGAUGCCAGGGACUGAGCGGUGGUGCUAUGGCUGGUGUGAUCCAUGGGCAAGCACAACACGGAGAUCCUAUGUUUCAGGAGUUUGCGGGCCGAUUACUGCGCCGGGUGUGCUCGCCGUUGUUUGAGAUGGUCAGGAGCUGGGUGCUAGAAGGGGAAUUGGAGGAUGUAUUUGCAGAGUUUUUUAUCGUUGGGCAGCCAGUGAAUUACCAGCCAGAACGAAGGUGAUGAGAUGGCGUCAAAGGUAGCUUUUGAUCACCCAGAACGAUUCUCCGAAAAGUUCGAGUUCAGUGCAGCCAACAUUGAGCCCCUGGUUCAGACAUGCAUGACAACUCUAUCCUCAAAGAUGUAAGUCGUAACAAAUCUUUGACAUUAUGUUCCAUCAUUCAGCCUUUGUGAUGCAGAUCUUUUCAUUUCAUUUAUGUUCUUUGGUAAUUCCUACAUCUAUGGUUAAUACUUAAUAUUUUUUCACAGAAGUGAUGUGAUUUUUUCUCUGUGAAGUGCUGUUGCACCACUUUUUUGUGUUGUUUUGGUAAAACAGGAAAAAACUUUGUUAGGGAAGUAGUAACUUUUCAGGGUUUUCUUUUCUUUAUAUGGGCCAACCAAACAGAAAUAAUUUUGGAGAUUUAAUCGGUUCUCACAUGUCAUUAAUCCUUAUACCAAACACACGAACUCAUAUCCAAGCAGGACUGUAACGAACUGUUUGGGAAAGACCAGGUAGGCUUUUAUGUUUUAUCGUCACAUUGCAAAAUACCCUUUAUUCAGAAGUCCUAGCUCAUCUUUCCAUUCCCUUUAAUGAUAUCUGAAAGUAGAGCUGAAGAAGGGGCAUCUGUUUGAAGGAUGGACUGAAGGGGUCAUCAACUUUUGGGUGCUAUUAAAGUGUUCAUAUACCAAACACAGUUUUGCUUUAUAUGUUGUCACCUGACCUAUGGAGAAAAGGAAGGAGAUGAACUAAAAAGGAAUGCUGAUGUUCAAGAAAUCCACUGGAGGACAAUAUUUAAUCCAGUUUCGAGAGUCAACAUGCCUAAAACGAUAUAUGAUCAUGAGUGAGUAAUAUAUUAUAUAUUGUUUCUGGUUACCUCUACUUUUUAGUGGUUCAUUUGGUACUUAUUUUAAUAGUUGAAAGGAACAAAGCAUUAUCUUUAGCCAUUCUUGAAUAUUGCAAUACUAUUAGAACUUUUGCUUUCAUAGUUUACCAGUUCAGUUCAUGGUAGCUAUAUUUGGUGACGCAUUGCAGUUUAGCUUGUUUCAGAAGGAAUGUAGGGCUAGGUGAUCUCAACUAUAGGAUCAACUUACCAUAUGAGAAGACACACGAACUCAUAUCCAAGCAGGACUGGAACGAAUUGUUUGGGAAAGACCAGAUGUGAUCUCUAGAAUGUGCUUUGUAAGCGGCUACAUCAAAGGAAAGGAAAUCUUUAUGAAGACCAGAGAACUCUAGCAGGCUGUCUGAAGACAAAUGUGCUAGCUGAAAUGACUGGCCUAAGGUGAUGAUUUGGAGGCCAUGGUUCAUGUUUGUGAGCUCGUUGCAGAAUGGCGACAGCCAUUUCAUUCAAAUGUAGUGGUGCACAUUGUAUGCUACUGACGAUUUGGCCAUAAUGAAAUUGAUGAGCCGCCCCUCAGUCCCUCACCCAACCUAAGAUGUACAAGGUGAUUAGGAACCAUCCAAGUGUGUUUGAGAUUUAUCAAAGAAAGUUGUUAGAGCCUGGAAAGAUCUCAAAGAAAUAUAUUGAUAAGUUAAACAAGAAGGUCAGCACUGUACUUAAUGAGUAUUUCGAGAAUAGCAAGGACUAUGUUCCGAACAAGAGGGACUAGAUUUUAGCUUAUUGGCAGGGUUCAAGUCACCAAAGCAGAUUUUAUGUAUCUGAAACAUUGGAGUCAAGCCAGAGAUUCUAAAACGUGUUGGAGAAGCCAUGACUACUCUGCCAAAAUUUCAAUCCUCACAGGGCUGUGAAUUUUUUUUAUCAAAGGCAUCAAAUGAUUGAGACUAGAGAAGACAUUGAUUGGACAGUUGGUGAAACACUUGUUUUUGCUACUCUUAUCAUUGAAGGGAACCACGUCAGGUUAAGUGGUUAGGAUGUUGAGAGGGGUACAUUUAGCCACCGUCAUUCUGUCAUCCAUGACCAAACUAGAGAAUAGUACUACCCACUGUACCAUCUUGUUAUGAACCAAGAUGAGGAGAUUUUUACUAUGAGCAACAUGUAUGAACAAUAUGGUAAUGGUUUGUUCCAGUUAUGGAUAUGCAUUGCUUAAUAGCUUAAGUUCGUCUUUUAUAGGAAACAUGAAAUAUUACAAUAAUCAAAUAGACCCAAAACGAACCAGUUUAUCGAACAACUUUGGAUGUCGUCGGAAUGCACAGGCAUUGUACUAUUUUUACUAAUGUUAUGGAUGUAGUAAUGAACCAUCCAAAGAAUUGAAGCUGAGGAAGUAGUUUAUCUGUGCCAAGCUUUUAUUGGUUGCUAUACUAUUGCCAAGUAGUGGCUUUGUUGUAAACAAUCACAAUUAUGAAUCUCCAUGAAAUGACUCUUUCGAAAUUUUAAAAGGAUGAAACAGUGUGUCACUGGUUUUCUAGCAGGAACCAAGGGUAUAGAUGCUACAAGUAUCAUUUGUUUUGUAGCAGGACAACAGGAAAACUGAAGGCGCACUGCACAGUUUGGGUGAGAGCGUUGCUUCAUUUACAGGAGUAGUUCAAGUGACAACAUCUGUGGUUGGUGCGGCUUGCAGCAGCUAGGCCAGUAGCACUGCUUUGAAGAGAUCGAUUCAGCUGAAAGUGGGAAAUCCUGCUAAAAGAUGAAGGGAUGAAGGCCAUAUACAUACACUCCUUCAGGUGCUUUGUUGGAUGCGCCCAACAUUUUCGUCCAAGAGUAAAUACACCUGCGAGGUCUGGCACAAAGUUAAACAUCUGGCCAUGUACUCCUUCAGCCAUGAAAUUUUCUCCAAAGUUUGUGCAAGAGUUUCAGGGACCUAUUUCUUUGUUCCGAGGGUGUACAUAUCAAAGAAGUUGUCCAUAGCGUUACAAUCCUCUGAAAUUCCUUGGGCCCCCUUAAUUUUAAAAAUAAGGGCCAGGUGUGGAAGAUCCAUUUGUUUUGACACAAUGUGCUUAGUAGUUGUGAGCUAUAACACUGUGUACGAGUCUUCCGCUGAGUUAAUCACUUUUUUGCUUUA